rnacentral:pre_miRNA from 1 species
UGGGUAAACUCCCAAUGAUCCGGUGUACAUUGAAUUCGGAUCCUUGGGUUUGAGCCCAAGG